rnacentral:tmRNA from 1 species
GGGGGCGAAUGGGUUCGACGGGAACCGUAGGACAGGGUUGCAGGCAGGGUGGCAACCUAAAGAGCCACUAAAAACACUUCCCGAAAGGGAACUCGCUCUCGCUGCCUAACUGAAGGCAGUGGCUCUGCAACCGCUGUGCCCCUGGGUGGUUGACAGGGCUUAGAGACAGGGGUGUAGGUGCGAGCUGGUGCAGGGCUGGCUCACACCGAAAAACUUCCCUGCUCGCCUCUUGGGAGUUUGCCAGUGGACGCCCAAGAGGUCAGAAGUAAAACGCUGGCUAAGCCUGUAGAGGCUCUGGGUUCUGAAGGUUCUCGGACGCGGGUUCGAUUCCCGCCGCCUCCACCA